UACUAGAGUACACUCGCAUAUCAAUAAGCGGAGGAAAAGAAACUAACAAGGAUUCCCCUAGUAACGGCGAGUGAAGUGGGAAGAGCUCAAAUUUGAAAUCUUAAAGGGUUUCCCUUUACGAAUUGUAGUUUAAAGAAGUGUUUUCUGUUGAGGUUUUGGUAAAAGUUCUUUGGAAUAGGACAUCAUAGAGGGUGAGAAUCCCGUAUUUGACCUUUACUUUCAACUUUGUGAUACACUUUCAAAGAGUCGGAUUGUUUGGGAAUGCAGUCCAAAAUGGGUGGUAAAUUUCAUCUAAAGCUAAAUAUUGGCGAGAGACCGAUAGCGAACAAGUACCGUGAGGGAAAGAUGAAAAGAACUUUGAAAAGAGAGUUAAACAGUACGUGAAAUUGUCAAAAGGGAAGCGUUUGACACCAGUGUUGUUUUUCUGAAAAUCAAUUAAAGAACUGUUUAUGCUAAGUUGUUUAGACUUUAUCAGCUAACUGUUUAGUUUUGAGCUUUUCUUUAAUGCACUUUUCAGUUAACAAGUCAACAUCAAUUUCUUUUGCUGUAAAAAAGCUUGAGGAAGGUGGCUUGAGAUUCGUCUUAAGUGUUUAUAGCCUCUUGCCUAUGCAGUCGGAGAGAUUGAGGUCUGCAGCGUAGAUCCUUCGGGGCUAAAUGCAUUUGUGCUAAGUUAUAGCAUUUUAUAGACAACUUGUUGACUAUGAUUUGUCUUGUAGCUUACUCGCUUAUGUUAUUUUACCUACGCUUAGGAUGUUGAGCGCAUGUCUCUCUCU
rnacentral:rRNA from 1 species